CGGAGGUCAUGCAUGAGUCCGAUUUAGCCAUGCUAGUUGCACGGGUUUAGACCCGUAGCAGAUAGCUCAGUAACACGUGGCCAAACUACCCUCUGGAUCGGGAUAACCUCGGGAAACUGAGGCUAAUCCUGAAUAGCGUUCUCACCCUGGAGUGGGGAGAACGUGAAACGCUCCGGCGCCAGAGGAUGUGGCUGCGGCCGAUUAGGUAGACGGUGGGGUAACGGCCCACCGUGCCAGUAAUCGGUACGGGUUGUGAGAGCAAGAGCCCGGAGACGGUAUCUGAGACAAGAUACCGGGCCCUACGGGGCGCAGCAGGCGCGAAACCUUUACACUGCACGCCAGUGCGAUAAGGGGACUCCAUCUGCGAGGGCAUAUCGUCCUCGCUUUUCUGUACCGUAAGGUGGUACAGGAAUAAGGGCUGGGCAAGACCGGUGCCAGCCGCCGCGGUAAUACCGGCAGCCCGAGUGAUGACCGCUAUUAUUGGGCCUAAAGCGUCCGUAGCUGGCCAGGCAAGUCCAUCGGGAAAUCCGCGUGCCCAACACGCGGGCGUCCGGUGGAACCUGCUUGGCUUGGGACCGGAAGACCUGAGGGGUACGUCUGGGGUAGGAGUGAAAUCCCGUAAUCCUGGACGGACCACCGGUGGCGAAAGCGCCUCAGGAAGACGGAUCCGACGGUGAGGGACGAAAGCUCGGGUCACGAACCGGAUUAGAUACCCGGGUAGUCCGAGCUGUAAACGAUGUCUGCUAGGUGUGACACAGGCUACGAGCCUGUGUUGUGCCGUAAGGGAAGCCGUGAAGCAGACCGCCUGGGAAGUACGUCCGCAAGGAUGAAACUUAAAGGAAUUGGCGGGGGGAGCACUACACCGGAGAGUCCUG
rnacentral:rRNA from 1 species